rnacentral:misc_RNA from 1 species
CUCGCCAAUACGAUAGCUUACGGAUCGGGUCUGGCUGGCGGGCAUCGAUGCAAUUCGAUCCAUUGAAGCGCCGCGAGUUCAUCACGCUGCUCGGCGGCGCGGCGGCCGCGUCUUCGCCGCAUUAUCCGCUCGCGGCGCGAGCGCAGCAGCCGAUGCCGGUAGUCGGGUUUCUCAACAACGCAUCACCCGGUCCUUACGCGCGCAUGGUGAAUCAGUUCCACCAAGGCCUACGCGAAACCGGUUAUGUCGAGGGCCGAAACGUUGUGAUG